UGUCGGUCUCGCCAGGGUGGUUUUUCAGAGAGUUGCCUUGCACGAGGGUAAUACUGGAUUUCUUUUCCAUGUGUUUACGUUGGCGGGCGAGGUGGGAGGGGAGGGAGGAGGUCGUGCAUCUCUCUCCUCCCUUUACAGGGAGGAGAGCGGGAUGGGGGAAGUCCGGCGGCGGGUGUUCUCUCCACACCGCAGCCACGACGCUUUUAUACUGUCAACGAUCUCCUCUCGCUCCCUCGCCUUCUCACGGCGAAAAGUGUGCUGCCCUCGUGUACGGGGUGUGGUGGUGGUCUCCGCUAUGCUUUCUUCGGGCUGCUUCCGGCCGCAGGACACGGCUGUAUACAUAUAUGCGUGUGUGUGCACGUGUGCCGGGCGUGCUAGCUCUCCUUCCCUCCUUCUUAUGCCGGGGAUGAUGUCGAUUGGUUUUCCUACCUUGUCUGUGUGUUCAAGUCAGUCCCACCCCGUGACCAGCCCCCCCCCCCCUUCAUGCCCGCCACCAGGGGUGAGGGACAUGAAGGACGAGAGGACGGGUGGGCUCCGCACCUUCGCAGAAUGCAUCCAAAACACACACACACACAAGGCGCGGCCAUUCGGUGAGAGCGGAAUACAAGAGUGCGCUUCUCCCGCCUCCCUGUCAGCGCUCAACUCGUUCUAUGAUGGCGCCCCCAGCGGGUUCGAAAAUGAGGAUGG
rnacentral:misc_RNA from 1 species